UCUUGGUCAUUUAGAGAAGUAAAAGUCGUAACAAGGUUUCCGUAGGUGAACCUGCGGAAGGAUCUUAAAGAACGCCCCGUUUUUUGAAAUGGGUAAUUCCCAAACCGUGUCUAAUACCUUUGUUGCUUUGGCAGGUCGCCUUCUAGGAGGCGUCGGCUCCGGUGACUGCGCCUGCCAGAGGACCCAAACUCGUUUUGUUUAGUGUCGUCUGGUACUAUAUAAUAGUUAAAACUUUCAACAACGGAUCUCUUGGUUCUGGCUCGAUGAAGAACGCAGCGAAAUGCGAUAAGUAAUGUGAAUUGCAGAAUUAGUGAAUCAUCGAAUCUUUGAACGCACAUUGCGCCCCUUGGUAUUCCGAGGGCAUGCCUGUUCGAGCGUCAUUAUAACCACUCAAGUUUCGACUUGGUUUGGGGUUCGCGGUUUCGCGGCCCUUAAAAUCAGUGGCGGUGCCGUCUGCUCUAAGCGUAGUAAUUCUCUCGCUACAGGGUCCGGGUGGUUGCUUGCCGAAUCCCCCACUUUUAUAGGUUGACCUCGGAUCAGGUAGGGAUACCCGCGAACUUAAGCAUAUCAAUAAGCGGAGGA
rnacentral:rRNA from 1 species